GCAAGAUACCACGGGCGCACGGCGGAUGCCUUGGCACAGGGAGCCGAUGAAGGACGCGGCAAGCUGCGAUAAUCCCCGGCGAGGAGCACACAUCCUUCGACCCGGGGGUCUCCGAAUGGGCGAACCCAUGCACAGCAGUGUGCAUAUCCCCGGCCUGAACACAUAGGGCCGGGGAGGACAACCCGGGGAACUGAAACAUCUAAGUACCCGGAGGAGAGGAAAUCAAUCUCGAGACUCCCCGAGUAGCGGCGAGCGAAAGGGGACCGAUGGCCAAACCGUCGAGCGGGCAUACCCGGCAGGGGUUCCGCCGACGGGGUUGCAGGGCCGCGCAUCCGGGGGCUGCCGCCCCCGGGCGCAGGUCCGGCUGGGGAGCGGAACGGCAUGGGAGGGCCGGCCGCAGCGGGUGACAGCCCCGUACGCGAACCCAGACCGGACGGCGCGACGCGGUCCCUGAGUAGGGCCGGGCACGUGAAACCCGGUCCGAACCUGGGUGGACCACCAUCCAAGCCUGAGUACUACCCUGUGACCGAUAGCGCACCAGUACCGUGAGGGAAAGGUGAAAAGCACCCCGGGAGGGGAGUGAAACAGUACCUGAAACCGUGCGCCCACGAGCAGUCGGAGCAACUUUACGUUGUGACGGCGUGCCUUUUGUAGAAUGAGCCAGCGAGUCGCUGGCGCGGGGCGAGGUUAACCGAAAGGGAGCCGGAGCGAAAGCGAGCCUUAACAGGGCGACUUGAGUCCCGCGCCGCGGACGCGAAGCCGGGUGAGCUAUCCGUGGGCAGGCUGAAGCGGGGGUAAGACCCCGUGGAGGGCCGAACGCACGUCGGUUGAAAACGGCGGCGAUGACCUGCGGAUAGGGGUGAAAGGCCAAUCAAACCCGGAGAUAUCUCGUUCUCCCCGAAAUAGCUUUAGGGCUAGCGUCGCGCGUUCACCGCCGGAGGUAGAGCACCGGAUGGACGAGGGGGCUUCGCCGCCUACCGAAUCCAACCGAACUCCGAAUGCCGGCGGCCCAGAGCGCGGCAGUCAGAGCAUGUGGGCUAAGCUGUGUGCUCGAGAGGGAAACAGCCCGGACCGCCCGCUAAGGUCCCCAAGUUCCAGCCGAGUGGCAAAGGAUGUGCGUCCGCCCAGACAACCAGGAUGUUGGCUUAGAAGCAGCCAUGCAUUCAAAGAGUGCGUAACAGCUCACUGGUCGAGUGGACAUGCGCCGACAAUACACGGGGCUAAGCUGGACACCGAAGCGGCGGGAUUUUAAUUCAUUAGAAUCGGUAGGGGAGCUUCCCAUGGGCGGAGAAGCCGGAGGGCGACCGACGGUGGAGCGCAUGGGAGUGAGAAUGCUGGCAUGAGUAGCGAGAGACGAGAGAGUAACUCGUCCGCCGUGAACCCGAGGUUUCCUGGGCAAGGCUAAUCCUCCCAGGGUCAGUCGGGGGCUAAGGCGAGGCCGGGAGGCGUAGCCGACGCGCAGCAGGCAGACAUUCCUGCACCGCGCACGCGGCGCUACGACCGACGGGGCGACGGAUGGGGGUGGCUCGGCGGGGUUCUGGACGUCCCCGUGAUGGAGCGCGGCCCGCGGACCAGGGAAAUCCGGUCCGCAUUGAGGGCGAGGCUCCGGACGAAGCGACUGAGCGAAGCGAGUGAGCCCGAGGUCCCUAGAAAAACCCCUAGGCAGGCGCGUGCGCGCCCGUACCGCAAACCGACACAGGUGGGUGGGUAGAACAUACCGAGGCGAUCGGGUCAACCAUGGUCAAGGAACUCGGCACAAUGGCCCCGUAACUUCGGGAGAAGGGGUGCCCGCGCGUACGUGAACGGACUUGCUCCGGGAGCGGAGGCGGGCCGCAGUGGAGAGGCCCAAGCGACUGUUUACCAAAAACACAGGACUCUGCAGAAGCCGCAAGGCGACGUAUAGGGUCUGACGCCUGCCCGGUGCCGGAAGGUCACGCGGAGGAGUUAGCCGUUAAGGCGAAGCCCCGAAGCCAAGCCCCGGUAAACGGCGGCCGUAACUAUAACGGUCCUAAGGUAGCGAAAUUCCUUGUCGGGUAAGUUCCGACCUGCACGAAAGGCGCAACGACUUGGGCGCUGUCUCGACCAUGGACCCGGUGAAAUUGCACUGGUCGUGAAGAUGCGACUUACCCGCGGAAGGACGGAAAGACCCCGUGAACCUUCACUG
rnacentral:rRNA from 1 species